UACGUAGGUGGCAAGCGUUGUCCGGAUUUAUUGGGUUUAAAGGGUGCGUAGGCGGGCCAUCAAGUCAGGGGUGAAAUCCUUCAGCUCAACUGGAGAACAGCUUUUGAUACUGGUGGCCUCGAGGGGGGUAGGGGCAUGUGGAACUUCCGGUGGAGCGGUGAAAUGCGUAGAUAUCGGAAGGAACGCCGGUGGCGAAAGCGACGUGCUGGACCCUUUCUGACGCUGAGGCGCGAAAGCCAGGGGAGCAAACGGG
rnacentral:rRNA from 1 species